rnacentral:tRNA from 1 species
GGGGCUGUAGCUUAGUGGUAGAGUGCCUGCCUAGCACGUGUGAGACACUGAGUUCGAUCCUCAGCACCACA